UACGGGGGGGGCAAGCGUUGUUCGGAAUUACUGGGCGUAAAGGGCUCGUAGGCGGCCAACUAAGUCAGACGUGAAAUCCCUCAGCUUAACUGGGGAACUGCGUCUGAUACUGGAUGGCUUGAGUUUGGGAGAGGGAUGCGGAAUUCCAGGUGUAGCGGUGAAAUGCGUAGAUAUCAGGAGGAACACCGGUGGUGAAGACGGCUUACUGGACCACGACUGACACUGAGGCACGAAAGCGUGGGUAGCAAACAGG
rnacentral:rRNA from 1 species